rnacentral:rRNA from 1 species
GCAGUCGAACGAAUGCAGUUCCUUCGGGAGCUGUGUUAGUGGCGCACGGGUGCGUAACGCGUAUGCAACUUACCUUCUAUUGGGGGAUAGCCCGGAGAAAUCCAGAUUAAUACCGCAUAACACUAUUUGAGGGCAUCCGAAGAUAGUUAAAGCUUUGGCGAUAGAAGAUGGGCAUGCGUGCCAUUAGCUGGUUGGUAGUGUAACGGACUACCAAGGCUACGAUGGCUAGGGGCUCUGAGAGGACGGUCCCCCACACUGGUACUGAGACACGGACCAGACUCNUACGGGAGGCAGCAGUAGGGAAUAUUGGGCAAUGGCCGAGAGGCUGACCCAGCCAUGCCGCGUGCAGGAAGAAGGCCUUCUGGGUUGUAAACUGCUUUUAUCAGGGAAGAAAACGCCUUUGCGAAGGUAACUGACGGUACCUGAUGAAUAAGCACCGGCUAACUCCGUGCCAGCAGCCGCGGUAAUACGGAGGGUGCAAGCGUUGUCCGGAUUUAUUGGGUUUAAAGGGUGCGUAGGCGGCCCAUUAAGUCAGUGGUGAAAUCCAACAGCUCAACUGUUGAACUGCCAUUGAUACUGGUGGGCUUGAGUAAGGUCGAGGCAGGCGGAACUGGUGGUGUAGCGGUGAAAUGCAUAGAUACCACCAAGAACCCCGAUUGCGAAGGCAGCUUGCUGGGCUUUAACUGACGCUGAGGCACGAAGGCGUGGGGAGCGAACAGGAUUAGAUACCCUGGUAGUCCACGCCGUAAACGAUGAUAACUCGAUGUUGGCGAUAUACAGUCAGCGUCCAAGCGAAAGCGUUAAGUUAUCCACCUGGGGAGUACCCCCCGCAAGGGUGAAACUCAAAGGAAUUGACGGGGGGCCCNCACAAGCGGGGGAGCAUGUGGUUUAAUCCGAUGAAACCCGAGGA